UACAGAGGUCUCAAGCGUUGUUCGGAUUCAUUGGGCGUAAAGGGUGCGUAGGUGGCGCGGUAAGUCGGGGUGUGAAAUCUCGGAGCUUAACUCCGAAAUUGCAUUCGAUACUGCCGUGCUCGAGGACUGGAGAGGAGACUGGAAUUCAUGGUGUAGCAGUGAAAUGCGUAGAGAUCAUGAGGAAGACCAGUGGCGAAGGCGGGUCUCUGGACAGUUCCUGACAUGAGGCACGAAGGCCAGGGGAGCAAAACGGGG
rnacentral:rRNA from 1 species